CUUGAUGAAAUAUGAGAGGUCCAGCCUGCCCAGUGACCUAGUUCAACGGCCGCGGUAUCCUAACCGUGCGAAGGUAGCGUAAUCACUUGUUCUUUAAAUGAGGACUAGUAUGAAUGGCAUCACGAGGGUUAAACUGUCUCCUUUUUCUAAUCAGUGAAACUAAUCUCCCCGUGAAGAAGCGGGGAUUAUUUUAUAAGACGAGAAGACCCUAUGGAGCUUAAAACAAAUUUACACCUGCUUUAAUAUAUAACCCUCCCGAGGACUCACACAAAUUAUAGCAUAACUGAUAAUUAGUUUUCGAUUGGGGUGAUCAUGGAGAAAAAACCAACCUCCACGACGAUAAGGGGGAGCACCUCCUGAGCCAAAAGCCACAACUUUCAGCACUAAAAAAUUAACGCACUUUGACCCAAUUACUUGAGCAACGAAC
rnacentral:rRNA from 2 species